rnacentral:rRNA from 1 species
AUUGAACGCUGGCGGCAUGCCUUACACAUGCAAGUCGAACGUGAAAGCGGGGCAACCCGCAAGUAGAGUGGCGGACGGGUGAGUAAUACAUCGGAACGUGUCCAGUAAUGGGGGAUAACCUAGCGAAAGUUAGGCUAAUACCGCAUACGAUCUGCGGAUGAAAGCGGGGAUGCGGCACUAAAGGCUUUUGGCGAAGGUGGCCAAAGGUGAGUCAAGAGCUUUUAGUGCUGCACCUCGCGUUAUUGGAGCGGCUGAUGUCUGAUUAGCUAGUUGGUGAGGUAAAGGCUUACCAAGGCGACGAUCAGUAGCUGGUCUGAGAGGACGGCCAGCCACACUGGGACUGAGACACGGCCCAGACUCCUACGGGAGCAGCAGUGGGAAUUUUGGACAAUGGGGGCAACCCUGAUCCAGCCAUGCCGCGUGAGUGAAGAAGGCC